rnacentral:sRNA from 1 species
UCCGGGAACCGCGACCUGUCCAUGACGGAAGGUCAGUACCAAAAUUCUCGCUGAUUUCAGGAGCUUUUAUUAUGCGUA